GAAUAAAAUGUCAUACACAUUAAAGUAAACUCAUCUUAAUGUAAAUUAAGUUACAUUUUUAUUGUAAUUUUAUGCAUAACACUUUCCUAUGAUCAGUUUCAUCUUAUUUUAAAGCAGCUUUAUAUAACAGUUUGACGCACUGAAAGAU